rnacentral:rRNA from 1 species
UACGUAGGGUGCAAGCGUUAAUCGGAAUUACUGGGCGUAAAGCGUGCGCAGGCGGUUGUGCAAGACCGAUGUGAAAUCCCCGGGCUUAACCUGGGAAUGGCAUUGGUGACUGCACGGCUAGAGUGUGUCAGAGAGGGGUAGAAUUCCACGUGUAGCAGUGAAAUGCGUAGAGAUGUGGAGGAAUACCGAUGGCGAAGGCAGCCCCCCUGGGAUAACACUGACGCUCAUGCACGAAAGCGUGGGGAGCAAACAGG